rnacentral:tRNA from 1 species
GUCUCCGUGGCAUAAUCGGUUAGUGCGUUCGGCUAUUAACCGAAAGGUUGGUGGUUUGAACCCACCCAGGGACG